GGGCGAUGUGGAGCGUCCCACAGCGCACCUACGCCCCGGAGGCUCAUGGGCGUUGUAGUUCCCAGGGCGGCGAGCUGUGCUGGCCCUGAGCGUGGGAGGGCGAGGCCAGGUCUGGAGGCACGGUCCCGUCCUCCUUGAGGCAGAAGCGGCUGUCCCGGCGUGGAUGACUCCGGAGCGUCCUGGCCCCGAACCCCCUGGAGUGCGACCCGCUGCGCGGGUCUGGCGACAGAUCUGGCGGCCGUGUGUCGCAGCUGGAGGUAGGACCAGGCCCUGCGGCCUGGCUGAGGAAGACCGUCCUGGGAAUCUUUCGGAGCUUCUGGAAGUUGUUGGGUCUGGAUGGGAAGCCUGGAACUACUGUGCCCAUCAUGCUCCCAGUCCAUGAUGAAGCCAAAAUCCAGAAGAGGGCAAAGCGAAGAGGAUCUUAGACGUCUGGGCUCCUCAUGGAACAGUGCCUAAUGCUUAGGUGAAGAAGUAUUUGUUGAAAGAAGAAUUUGUUGAAUAAUUUCAGUUGAGCAUUCAAUUAAGCAUUGUGUUGGGCUUAAGUUUCUCGAUGUUUUCAAUGGAAGGCAAAUUUUGUAUUCACAUUCAUUUAAAAAAUAAAGGAUUAUGAAGCUGGUAGAGUGCCAGCUUGGAAUUCUGGUGGCCAUCUUGCUAUCUAUGAGGGGAAAACCUGCCUGAGGAGGAAGACAGUCCAGAGGAAAGCAGAGCUGAGACAGAGAGCAAGUUCAGACGGACAUCGUUUGAGCCUGUGGCUCCAGCCACACCUAACAUCAUUCUACCUCUGAUUUUUAAAUUCUGUAAACCAAUAAACUCCCCCUCUUUUCAUGUUUAAACUACCUUAAACGGAGUGGGGGGCUGUUCCUAUUACUUGUAACUGAAAGCAUCCUGAGUGUUACAUCCCCCGUUCGUAAGGAGGAAGAAGUGUUUUCCCUUUCAUAUUAAUACCUUGGCUUAACCUGGGCCCUGGAUCCAUCC